AUAUUGCGCAAUGGAGGGAACUCUGACGCAGCUACGCCGCGUGAGCGAUGAAGGUCUNNNGAUCGNACAGCUCUGUCCUUGGGNAAGNAGGUCUUCGGACUUGACGGUACCUAAGGAGGCAGCCCCGGCUAACUACGUGCCAGCGGCCGCGGUAAUACGUAGGGGGCAAGCGUUGUCCGGAAUUAUUGGGCGUAAAGGGUGCGUAGGCGGCCUUUUAAGUGAGAUGCGAAAGCCCACGGCUUAACCGUGGGACUGCAUUUGAAACUGGAGGGCUUGAGUAUCGGAGAGGGUAGUGGAACUCCCAGUGUAGCGGUGGAAUGCGUAGAUAUUGGGAGGAACACCAGUGGCGAAGGCGACUACCUGGACGAAAACUGACGCUGAGGCACGAAAGCUAGGGGAGCAAACA
rnacentral:rRNA from 1 species